CCAUUUGUGGUGAUAUUCACAGGCAGUUCCAUGAUCUUGCUGAGCUUUUUAAGAUUAGUGGAAAGCUCUUGGUGGCUCUGAAAGUGUGUUAUCCUCAACGACUUACUAUUCUAUGAGGAAAUCAUGAAAGUUGCCCGAUUACUCAAGUUUAUGAAUUUUAUGAUGAAUGCCUAGGAAAUUUGACCCAGCUCCUAGAAGGGGUGAGCCAGAUGUAACCCGCAGAACACCAGAUUACUUCGAUGCAGUGGAUAAUAGUAUCAGAAUUCUGCGGGACAGAUGCCUGAUAGCUGCUUUAUGCUCAUAAUGCUCACUUCUACAAAUUUAGAUAUAUAUUUUCCAUUGAUGAUGGGAUGUCAGGAAGCAUGUGAAAGACGCAGGUAAUGCUUUCUUUGAUCGAAUCUUUUCGUGGAACUAAUAGCAAACAUGACGAAAGCAGUGGUGCUGGCAACUGAGAUCACUCCUAACACUGUAAUGGUCGAGGCAUUUGCCCUCUUUUCUUCUUCUAGUAUCGUAUUUUUGUCCCUCGUGUGGAAGAAACAUAUCAAGAUUUUUAAGUUUCUCCAUAUUUAUUUUUUAUCCAUUGGAGUUUCACACGACAUGGACAUUUAUCAUUUUUUCUUCCCUUUUUUAACAUUUGAAUCAACAUUCAAGUCACUUGUAAUUUAAACAUU